rnacentral:lncRNA from 1 species
GCUGUUGUAGCUCAGCGGUAGAUUGCUUGCCUAAUCUGUGCAGAGAGAGACCCUUUUUGGAGCCGAGCGGUGUACAUCUCAGUUCUAGAAGGCCAAUGAAAGUGGAUUGGAGGAGGUGGAGAUGGAGGUCCAGAUGGAGCCUUACCACCCACCACCGCCACUACCACAACCGAAACCCAGGAGCAGCAGUGGCCCCAGCUAGGCCUGUCUGUAGCUGUCCUCCAGGUCUCACAGUUGCCAUGGUAACCCAGCCCUCCAGUUCAGCAACAUAUGGGGAGGGCCGUUGGGCAGAGCAGAAGCUUUGAGCUGGGAGUAUCCACCUCAUCAGCCACUGUCAUCUGUCCUCUAAGGGGCACAAUAAACGGGAGAAGCAGCCCUGUGUGGGGGAA